rnacentral:rRNA from 1 species
CAGCAAUGCAGAGUGGCAGACGGGUGAGUAACGCGUGGGAACCUUCCCAGUGGUACGGAAUAGCUCAGGGAAACUUGAGGUAAUACCGUAUAAGCCCCUAGGGGGAAAGAUUUAUCGCCAUUGGAUGGGCCCGCGUCGGAUUAGCUAGUUGGUGAGGUAACGGCUCACCAAGGCAACGAUCCGUAGCUGGUUUGAGAGAAUGACCAGCCACACUGGGACUGAGACACGGCCCAGACUCCUACGGGAGGCAGCAGUGGGGAAUCUUGGACAAUGGGCGCAAGCCUGAUCCAGCCAUGCCGCGUGAGUGACGAAGGCCUUAGGG